GACGAACGCUGGCGGCGUGCUUAACACAUGCAAGUCGAACGGAAAGGCCCCUUUGGGGGUACUCGAGUGGCGAACGGGUGAGUAACACGUGAGUAACCUGCCCUUGACUUCGGGAUAACUUCAUGAAACUGGGGCUAAUACCGGAUAGGAAUCCUUGCUGCAUGGUGUGGGUUGGAAAGCUUCGGCGGUUUUGGAUGGACUCGCGGCUUAUCAGCUUGUUGGUGGGGUAGUGGCUUACCAAGGCGUUUACGGGUAGCCGGCCUGAGAGGGCGACCGGCCGCAUUGGGACUGAGAUACGGCCCAGCCUCCUACGGGAGGAAGCAGUGGGGAAUAUUGCAAAAUGGGCGGAAGCCUGCUGCAGCAACGCCGCGUGCGGGAUGACGGGCUUCGGGUUGUAAACCGCUUUCAGCAGGGGCGAAGCUUGUGGUGACGGUACCUGCAGAAGAAGCACCGGCUAACUACGUG
rnacentral:rRNA from 1 species